AGGACGAACGCUGGCGGCGUGCUUAACACAUGCAAGUCGAGCGGAAAGGCCCUUCGGGGUACUCGAGCGGCGAACGGGUGAGUAACACGUGAGCAACCUGCCCUUGGCUCUGGGAUAGCCUCCGGAAACGGGGAUUAAUACCGGACAUUCACUUUCUCCUGCAUGGGUGAUGGUGGAAAGUUUUUUCGGCCAGGGAGGGGCUCGCGGCCUAUCAGCUUGUUGGCGGGGUAACGGCCCACCAAGGCGACGACGGGUAGCCGG
rnacentral:rRNA from 1 species